CCCCCUUGCUCAGGACGCUCCCACCACCCUGGCUUCCUGUGGGUGUCUCAGAUGAGAACUCCUCAAGCACCUGGAACCCACUCCCUGCUUUGCACGGCUCAUUCCACCUCUAAUUUCAGAUCUUAGAUUCAAGUCAGCUCCAGAGGGAUGCCUUCCUGGACCAUGCUUCCUAAAACAGGGCUCUCAAAAGCUAGUUCUUUCCUUCACAGCAUUCACCACCAUUUGGUCAUUAUUACUGGCUUAUCCGACAGAUCAGAUUUGCCCCCAAAGAGAAAUAAUGAUAACAGUAAUAAUAAUAAAUACCAUUGUUAAGUUGCCUGGCACUCCAAGUGCUUAGGCACAUCCCUCCUGUAUUCCUCAUCUUAUCCUAUUCAUUCAUUUGUCAAAGAGUUGUGAAGACUUCAAAGGUUUCCAGGCUCUGGGGAUACCACAAAGAGCAAACGAGCCCACCCCACACUCUCAUGCAACCUGCAUUCUGCUGAGAAUUGAGAGAGGCUAAGAAUAACAAUCACACAAGUAACUAAGACAAUUUCAGCGAGGGUUAAGAGCUCUGAGAAGGACAGAAGGCAGUGACGUGAUAGAAAGUGACUGGGAACAAAGAACUGAGGCUGGGGCCCAGAACGGGCUCUCCGAAGAGGAAAUCAUUGACAGAGACCUGGACACUGAGAAAGAGCCAACUACACCAAGAUCUGGGAGGCAAGCUUUUCGGGCAGUGAAAAAAGCAAGUCAGCAGCAGCCCUACGAGUGAGUUUGGUGUGUUCAAAGAACUGGAAGGAGGCCGGUGAGCAGGAGCGAGAGCUGGAUACAGCUGGAGGGGAGAUGCACCUGCGGAAGGUGGCAAGGGCAGUUCCAGGCUUGUCUAGCCUGCCCGUCUGGGUCCUGCCCCAUGACUCACCUUACAACAGGUAGCUGCUCUUCCCUUCCCUUGGGAAAAAUGUCAUGGAGGCAGAGGGUACUUUGGAGCAGGGGAAAAGGGGAGACUUUUGGAAAACAGUUGCUCAACCUUAAGAGGUGGGUAUAUAGUCAUGCAUCACUUAACCAUGGGGAUAGUUCUGAGAAAUGCAUCGUUACGUGAUUUCAUCAUUGUGCGAGCAUCAUAGAGUGUGCUCACACACACCUAGAUGGUACAGCCUCCUACACACCUACGCUGCAUGGUACUGAUCUCAUGGGACCACCAUCUGAUCCGAAGUCUGUGGUUGACUGAAACGUAGUUAUGUACGAAAUACAUGUAUGCAUGUAUUUAAUUCAUUUCACUUGCAAGGCACUGGGCCGUGGCAGGUCGAAUGGUGGCUUCUAUCUUUGCUUCCUUCUAAGCCAUGCCUCUUGUUUUCCUGCAUCCAUGCCUUUAUUGAUACCUGAGGCUUCCCUCCCGCUCAGCCCAAUCCUGCCCCUCCCCAGGUGUUAGCCGGCAGGAGCCUCUCUUAGCUCAGUGCUGAGCCCUGCCUAGUUCUCAGGUCCCUCUUCCGAUUGAAUUUAAAACACAGUCUUCUUUGGUGUCAGUGUCCCUCUCUAGGUUAUGCCAAGUCCCUGUCUCCUCCUUGUUUGUUAAGUGACACCAUCUGACUUACUGGUCAUCUCUGGGCUGUGCUCCCCCUUGAAGGCUUCCUGAGGGGCUGCUGGAGUGUGUGUGUGUGUGUGUGUGUGUGUGUCCUGAGCAGCAUAUCUAGUGCCACUAGUCAAUUAGGAUUAUAUUUCACUCUGAAUUUUACAAAUAAAUGACUUCAGCUCUGUGUUUCUAAAGAAAGAAAAGCAGACUGUCCUCCCUUUGGGGCUGAGUUGAGUGCUCAUUUCCCUCAUGCAGCUCCCUAUUCCCUGCCUGGUAAGCAGUGUGAUCAGAUUUACUCCAUUUGGCCAUUUACACAAGCCCUACUUCAUGCCAAGCCCUGGGGACUAGUCAAUGUUUGAACUUCAGGGAGUCCCAGUAGAACAAUAAAGUCAGACAUAGUCUAUAAUGGUGUUCCCAUAUGUUACCUCAUUUGAUCUUCC
ensembl:lncRNA